UUCUGACAAGUCCUCCGGAUGACUCCAGGCCGACCCGCUCAGCCUGUACCCCACAUCCCAGGCAGGUGUGGGGACAUGGAGCAGCCAUAGAGGAACCUUCCUGAACCGUGACACUACAGAUGUGUCGAGCAGCUUCGCCUUGAGCCUCAAAAUCACGAUCCCCUUGGAAGUGGCAUCCUCAGGGGCUGUAGAAGGAGAAGAAACUUCAAAUGAUGAAGUGACUUGCCUAAAUUUUCCCAGCCUAUAAAAGCAGAGCUGGAAUGUGAACCCAGAAACUUCCGUAACCACCACACUUCAAGGUAGAAACACCUUGUGCCAAAGGCCUCCUGUAGGAUUCCUC